rnacentral:lncRNA from 1 species
ACAAGUGUGACUCUACGAAAAGUAAGCUCAAUUUCAGUCAACUUGCUGUAAAUACAGAGUUCUCAGAUUACGAAUAUAAUAUACCAUGCAUCAGUAGCGCGGCCCCAUACUCGGUUGAUCUGAGCAAGUUUCCUUACCAUUUCUCAAAGAAUGACUAUCCGCCAGCAGUUUCUGUAGUACAUGAAGGCUCCGACAAGGUCAAGCACCCUUGUGCCAAAAAUGUUGAGCUGAAGAUUGAUGAGUUCAAUGCAAUGAAGAAAGUUGGUGAUUGUUCCUUAAGCAACCAUCAUGGUUUUUUCGGUGAAGAAAUGACAAGAAGCGAGUGCAUGACAGUGCAAGAAGGCUGUGAAGAUAUCGACAUGGGAAGUGAAGGAAGCGAAGAAAGUGAUAUCAUUGUUGAGGACUCCGAUUCCAGAUCAGCUGAUGAGGAACAGAAUGAGAUUUCUGUAGACAAUGCUGAAAAAAUCUUAGGCAGUGGGGAAGCCAAUCUCUCAGAAAUGAAUCCAUGCUCCAUAACCUUGCGUUGUUUCAUCUGUGAUCUGUCAACAACCACAGUGCCGGCUACUCAGUUCAUUCAUACCAAUGGUGAGUUCCCGGUGACUUCAGCAACGAAAACACCUAUAGUCUCCAAACUUCUGGAGUUCGUCCCAGGGAGCUCCACAAAUACUUGAGCAUCGAGAAUCAUUUCUUAUGCUGCCGCUGUUUCAACCUUAUUGAGACUGUAGAGAGCUUAGAGGGCAAGCUUGAAUCUGUUAAAAAAACUUAACCGACACGCUCGCUAGGACCAUGACAAUCAUCAACAUCCGUGGUGCGGAGGAAAAAAAGAUCUCCUCUUUGGAGUGGUUUCAACCAGCAGAAUUAUCAGGGGAACCAGACGCUGCAAAAAAUUGUCAAGGAAUGACACAUCUUUAGAUAUGGACAACCCAAAGGGCAAUGAUGUGUGCGUCAACCGGGAUCUUCAGAAUUUACAGCAUGAAAGUCAAGAGGUUAGUACUUACAGAGUCUUUUAAGUUGUAGGGUCCAGCUUGAGGGACUGAAGUGAAAUGUAUUGUGAUGUUGAGAUGUUACACCAGACCAAGUAUUCAUCAACAUCAAUCUUACGCGCAUCCAGGGGGAGGCAUGAGGGGGAGGGGGAAGCCUGGGUCCCAUUCUCCUGGAAAAAAGGAGGAAGGAAAAAGAAGAGAAUAAGAAGGCAGCAGUAGUAGAAUGAGUUCAUUUUUAAUAGGUGAAUUUUGAAUUUUAAGAGGUGCUUAUAGAAGAAAAUUACACAAGAAAUCCAAUGGAACCACUUUAAAACCUCAAACUUUUGUAUAAAUGGAGUUGGAAGCGGUUGAAGUUUCCAAAUUUUGUCCGACUACUCCUACUGACCUGAUCCAUCGUGCGGCGACCGGAACCGAAGUCGAGGAAGCAAAGUUGCCCACUAUUAUCUGGACUUAGGCUCUGAGUUAUUCUCCUCAAGGGUGUCGCUCCAACAAUUGUGUCUGCAAAUUAGUAACGAUGGUGAAUGUCUCAGCAAGUCUCUCAAGUGGACGCCAAUAGGAUAUCUGUGGAAUUGGUUUAUUUAACAGAUAUCGACGGCGUAAGUCCGCAAUCACAUAGUAUCUCGUUUGCAGUGUCUAAAAUCUCUACCUCUAUGUUAUUUUUUUAAAGGAGAACAAAUUGACACCAUUCCUUGAAGUUCAUGCAGGAUUUUCUCCGCACAGAGAAAAAAAAUCGCGGCAGUUUUAAAAGAAUUGCCGGUGAAUAGUUCUCCGUCCAAAAUUAAAGUAUGUCAGGAAGUCUGCAAUGUCGUAAACUGAGUUAUGUGAUCGUCGACUUACACCGUCGAUAUACUUUAAUAUUCUUAGUGCUGCGCCAUCAAAUGUUCCAUUCUUGGACUUGACUGUGUCUCUAAAAAAAAUUGAUCCCCAUCAAAUAAAAGUUAGAAAUGGAUUUCUCACCUGAACAGUGCAUCGUUGGGAAAAGAACGGGGGAAGAGUGUCAAAAAUAAAGUUGACAAAAACGGUGCGUUUGAGAGUUAUCAAUGAACUGGAUGAAGGAGCGAAGGCACUCGUGCGUUUACGGAAUGGAGUGAUAGUGACCUCUUAACAGUAUGUGAACAUCUCAAGCAUUCUUUCUUCGAAGGAUAUGAGUCAACCCAUCGUUCUUGCUUUGAUCCAUUUUCGUGGCACAGAAAAAAAGUUACAAAUCAAUCGAGCAACUAUUCGAACUUCGGAGUAGGUAUGUGGUGUCACGCAAAAUUGAAGGAAAAUCAUAGGUUUCCGACGAUGUCACCGACGUUUAUGAAUAGUUUGCUCGCAUUGACUCAAAGUCGCGUAUUUUCCUAGGGAAAUCGCUGUGAUCUGAAGUAACCACUGGGAAAUUCAAGGCUGUUCUGCGAUAUUAAUUUAAAUUACGCGUAAUGUUCAAAGAUUCUACAAAACCUCUUGUUAGAUCGCGCAUUUGCCGCAAUUGAGCUGUGACUAUCUGCUAAUUUCUCAUUUUAUUUUUCCUGAAGUUAAUGAAUAUUUUUCUCACAUCGAUAUUAAGUCGCGUAUAUUCCGCGAUUUUAAGGUGAAAAUUGUGUGACAUGUUGUGAUCUUCACCACUGGAAAUUUCGCGGCAUUGAAGUGAAUACGCGUCAAAUUUUGAAGAUUCCACUAAACUCUUGACGUAUUGCGCCUUUGCCACGAUUAAG